GGGUAGAAGAGCAACAGGGAUUGCCUUAGUAACGGCGAGUGAAGCGGCAACAGCUCAAAUUUGAAAGCUGGCUCCUUUGGAGUCCGCGUUGUAAUUUGUAGAGGAUGAUUCGGCAAGGGCUCCCGCCUAAGUCUCCUGGAACGGAGCGUCAUAGAGGGUGAGAAUCCCGUAUGCGGUGGGCUGCCUAAGCCAUGUGAAUCUCCUUCGACGAGUCGAGUUGUUUGGGAAUGCAGCUCUAAAUGGGAGGUAAAUUUCUUCUAAAGCUAAAUACCGGCCAGAGACCGAUAGCGCACAAGUAGAGUGAUCGAAAGAUGAAAAGCACUUUGGAAAGAGAGUUAAAAAGUACGUGAAAUUGUUGAAAGGGAAGCGCUUGCAGCCAGACUUGUCCGCAGUUGCUCAGCCGGUCUCCUGACCGGUGUACUCUUCUGCGGCCAGGCCAGCAUCAGUUCGGGCGGUCGGAUAAAGACCUCGGGAAUGUAGCUCCUCUCGGGGAGUGUUAUAGCCCGGGGUGGAAUGCGGCCAGCCUGGACUGAGGAUCUCGCUUCGGCUAGGAUGCUGGCGUAAUGGCUGUAAGCGGCCCGUCUUGAAACACGGACCAAGGAGUCUAACAUCUAUGCGAGUGUUUGGGUGUCAAACCCAUGCGCGUAAUGAAAGUGAACGGAGGUGGGAACCCUCACGGGUGCACCAUCGACCGAUCCUGAUGUCUUCGGAUGGAUUUGAGUAAGAGCAUAGCUGUUGGGACCCGAAAGAUGGUGAACUAUGCCUGAAUAGGGUGAAGCCAGAGGAAACUCUGGUGGAGGCUCGCAGCGGUUCUGACGUGCAAAUCGAUCGUCAAAUUUGGGUAUAGGGGCGAAAGACUAAUCGAACCAUCUAGUAGCUGGUUCCUGCCGAGU
rnacentral:rRNA from 1 species